CUACCUUGAGCAGCUUGCAUCCGGCGAUUGCUGCUGAAAUGCACCACCAUACAUCCACUGUGGACGCUGCCUUCACAUGCUGCAGAGUCAAAACUUUGCAAGGCUUCUACUCACCAAGUCAGCCCGGUGAAAACAUGUUGCAAGCUGCUGCCCUUUAGCACUGUGGGAGCUGUGGUGCUGAAAGGACAGCUGGUUCUGAGGACAGCGACGGCCGAUUCGGAGGUCAGAGUCAGUGUGGACUGGAUGGAUGGAUGCUUUCAUAGUAUUUCCGUGCUGCUGUUGCGUUUGUGAAUACAAGGAAAAGGUGCACCCACCUCAUCCAGCACGGACUCGGCCUCUUCCUCGGUUUUACCCGGAAACCUGAUCCUCAUGGCGGUGAGCGCGGCCAGAGUCUGACGCACCAGCUCGGCCUCCU